UCUUGGCAAAGAUAUUGGAGUAGUUGGCCAUUUCCUUCUCCAGCUUAUUUUACAGAUGAAGAAACUGAGGCAGACAGGGUUCAGUGACUCCCUCAGGGUCACACAGCUGCAGAGGAAACUGAGGUUGAGAUGAAUCGACUUGUCCCAGACCGGAACUACUAAGAAAUAUCAAAAUCAAGGAUUAAACCUAGAUAUUGACUCUGUCUUUGGAUACACGCUCCCUUCCCCGCCAUGCUUCCUCUCCAAAAAAGGGGAAAGUGUGGGAAAAAAAAGGAUGAUGGGUAGAAGAGAAAGUGGCCAAGGGAAGAGAAUAUGGAGAUUCUGAUGAAAAGAAGGAUAGAGGGAAGGGGGUUCCCAAUCAUUGUAACAGACUUUGAGUUACUCAUUUCAAAUGAUAAUACUAUAACAAUGAUAUAAGGUUGGCUAAUCAGGGAAAUCCCUUCAUUAAAGUCCUCUGAGUACA